ACCAAUUUAGAAUUGAAAACAAAAUGUUUAUAUAAAAAUAAAUAGAAACAAAAAUCCGCGCGGUUGCGCGGAUCAAGAUUUAGUUCUCAUCUUUACAAUAUAUUAAAAUCCAAAAAAAUUACCCUAUAUCUAUUAUCUAGCCGUUGGUAAAUAUUUUAUCAUAAUAUUUCCACUAAUUAAAUAACUAUAAGUACCCAGACAAGAUAAAAGAAGAAACAGUGAAACUAUAUUAAAAUCUAGCCGUGUUCUCUCUCUAACAACAAAACACUCUAAUUUUUCUCUAAAAUUUGAAAACCCUAGCUCCGGCCGGUUAUUAUGGUGCCUGAGGCGUUUUUCCUCCACCCCUCUCCUCUUUUACUCUUUGCUUCCUUUUUCCAUGUCCAACCUUUGCUGAUAUACUUGUUUCUCUGCGGUUGAUGGAACCUCUCCAACAGCUCGGCUCGAGCAUCAGUGGGGUCAGUUCCGGCGUCUUUUGGAGAAGCGGUGAGGCCUUGGGAAGCUGGCGAAGGAGGAAGUCAGCUUUGAGGGUUUCAGAGGAGCCAUAUCUAGUUUUCUUUUUUAGAUCUACGGUGAUUCCGGCUUCGCUACGACGCAUGAAGUGCAGAGACGUCUUCUCAAGCUUGGAUCUUCGUUCCCUCAGAGGCGGUGAGACAACCGGAGAAGAUUUGGUCGGACUGUGGACAGGAGUUAUGUCUCCCGGUUCUCGGGGAAAUCAUAUAUCAAGGUCAGCGCCGAGGGAGUUGUCAACCGGAGGUACUCGCCUAUUGACGGUACGUGGCGGAGCUGCUACAUCCCAGCAUCGGAGGAGGUCGGUUUGUGUUCUCAUGCGAUCUCUGUGUCCCGUUUAUGGCUGAGGACCGAACAUUGAACAACUGGGGUAUGCGGUUAUCUCGAGAAUGCGCUUUUGGUGAAGAUGCAUUUGGUCACAAGCAUCAUGACUAUCUUUUGGUACCACUUGCUUGUUUAAGAACUGUAUUAUCGGAUUUAAUCAUGUAUUCUUUGUUUUAGUAGAUGUUGUAGGAGUUUCAAGAGAUGGAUCACUUCGAAUCUUGGGAUGAUUUCAUU